rnacentral:lncRNA from 1 species
CUUCUCAGCCCGUGGAAUUCUCCAAGCAGGAAUACUGGAGUGGGUAGCCAUGCCCUUCUCCAGAGGAUCUUCCCAACCCAGGGAUCAAACCCAGGUCUCCUGCACUGCAGACAGAUUCUUUACCAGCUGAGCCACCAGGGAAGCCCCAGUUAACUGCAUAAUGAAUGUGUUUUUUUUACCAGAGUGAUCUUAUGCAAGGCAUAAUUUAAAGACAGUUGUUUCUCACUUGUUCUUUGCUUUUGUUUUGAUUUUCUUUUCUAUUCAUCUGAGGUAUGGAGGGAGUGUUGCCGAGUGAUGUGUGGACAACUCACCUUCAUUGUGAUGCAAACAUCUGAUGUCUACAGAGAAGAAAAGUUGCAGAGCAGAGAACAAUGUUUGUCUUGUUGGAGGUUUAUAGGAACAUUGUGACCAGACCUACAUGGACAGCUGCAAGAACGAAGGAUUCCAGGAUCAAGAACUCUGCAACA